rnacentral:rRNA from 1 species
UACGUAGGGACCAAGCGUUGUUCGGAUUUACUGGGCGUAAAGGGCGCGUAGGCGGCCACCGCAAGUCAAUUGUGAAAUCUCCGGGCUUAACUCGGAAAGGGCAACUGAUACUGCGGGGCUAGAGUGCGGAAGGGGCAACUGGAAUUCUCGGUGUAGCGGUGAAAUGCGUAGAUAUCAGGAAGAACACCCGUGGCGAAGGCGGCUCUCUGGGACGGUACUGACGCUGAGACGCGAAAGCGUGGGGAGCGAACAGG